rnacentral:rRNA from 1 species
UACGGGGGGAGCAAGCGUUGUUCGGAUUUACUGGGCGUAAAGGGCGCGUAGGCGGUUCGGCAAGUCUCUAGUGAAAUCUCUGGGCCUCAACUCAGAGUCUGCUGGGGAAACUGCCGGGCUUGAGUGUGGGAGAGGAGAGUGGAAUUCCUGGUGUAGCGGUGAAAUGCGCAGAUAUCAGGAGGAACACCGGUGGCGAAGGCGGGUCUCUGGGCCGUAACUGACGCUGAGGAGCGAAAGCGUGGGGAGCGAACAGG